rnacentral:rRNA from 1 species
AACGAACGCUGGCGGCAUGCCUAACACAUGCAAGUCGAACGAGACCUUCGGGUCUAGUGGCGCACGGGUGCGUAACGCGUGGGAAUCUGCCCUUGGGUUCGGAAUAACAGUUAGAAAUGACUGCUAAUACCGGAUGAUGUCUUCGGACCAAAGAUUUAUCGCCCAGGGAUGAGUCCGCGUAGGAUUAGCUAGUUGGUGGGGUAAAGGCCUACCAAGGCGACGAUCCUUAGCUGGUCUGAGAGGAUGAUCAGCCACACUGGGACUGAGACACGGCCCAGACUCCUACGGGAGGCAGCAGUGGGGAAUAUUGCGCAAUGGCGAAAGCCUGACGCAGCGACGCCGCGUGGGUGAUGAAGGCCUCGGUCGUAAGACCUCGUCGCAGGGGAAGGAAGUAAAGACGAA